rnacentral:piRNA from 1 species
AAUAAAUUUUGUUCAUGGAUGA